rnacentral:rRNA from 1 species
UACGGAGGGUGCAAGCGUUAUCCGGAUUCACUGGGUUUAAAGGGUGCGUAGGCGGGUUGGUAAGUCCGUGGUGAAAUCUCCAAGCUUAACUUGGAAACUGCCGUGGAUACUAUCAAUCUUGAAUAUAGUGGAGGUGAGCGGAAUAUGUCAUGUAGCGGUGAAAUGGUUAGAUAUGUCAUAGAACACCGAUUGCGAAGGCAGCUCACAAAGCCAUUAUUGACGCUGAGGCACGAAAGCGUGGGGAUCAAACAGG